UACGUAGGGAGCAAGCGUUAUCCGGAUUUAUUGGGUGUAAAGGGUGCGUAGACGGGAAGUCAAGUUAGUUGUGAAAUCCCUCGGCUUAACUGAGGAACUGCAACUAAAACUAACUUUCUUGAGUGCUGGAGAGGAAAGUGGAAUUCCUAGUGUAGCGGUGAAAUGCGUAGAUAUUAGGAGGAACACCAGUGGCGAAGGCGGCUUACUGGACCGUAACUGACGUUGAGGCACGAAAGUGUGGGGAGCAAACAGG
rnacentral:rRNA from 1 species